rnacentral:lncRNA from 1 species
GACAAGGAAGAGAAGUUGACGUCCCUGGGAUGUCGUCACUUCAUUAUUGCGUGCACCUGCGCGUGCAUGUGAGGGGAGACAUUUUUCAAAAAGGUUUUCAAGACACAGGAGAGGUCGGGUUGAAAUAUUACUGAUGUUUCACGUUAAAAAUGGCCCUAAAGAUUAAUGCUAAACAACGUUUGACAUGUUUGAACGAACGUAAAUAGAUUUUUAUUUUACUUUUCGUCGUGACUUCCUACUUUUGAGGAGCCUACUGAACACCUAACAACAUGGAAAAAUGUGGAGUUAUUUGGACAUAAAUUAUGAACUUUGUCAAAAGAAACCACAUUUGUUGUGGACCUGGGAUGCCUGGAAGUGCCUUCUGAUGGAGAUAAUCAAAGGACCUGAGCCCUAGGACCAUGCCUCAGGACUACCUGGUAUGAUGACUCCUUGCUGUCCCCAGUCCACCUGGCCGUGCUGCUGCUCCAGUUUCAACUGUUCUGCCUGCGGCUAUGGAACCCUGACCUGUUCACCGGACGUGCUUGUUGCACCCUCGACAACUACUAUGAUUAUUAUUAUUUGACCAUGCUGGUCAUUUAUGAACAUUUUAACAUCUUGACCAUGUUCUGUUAUAAUAUCCACCCUGCACAGCCAGAAGAGGACUGGCCACCCCUCAUAGCCUGGUUUCUUACUAGGUUUUUGGCCUUUCUAGGGAGUUUUUCCUAGGGAUUUUUUCCUAGCCACUGUGCUUCUUUCACAUGCAUUGCUUGCUGUUUGGGGUUUUAGGCUGGGUUUCUGUACAGCACUUUGAGAUAUCAGCUGAUGUACGAAGGGCUAUAUAAAUAAAUUUGAUUUGAUUUGAAUAUGAUUUCAUAGGAAGUCAAAAGCUUGCCCUGCCGGAAGCUGGGUCCGCAGCGUGUAGGGCCCUUCAAAGUGCUGAGGAGAAUAAACCAGGUGUGUUACAGAUUACAACUCCCUUCUUAUUAUCGUAUUAACCCCUCGUUUCAUGUGUCUCUCCUCAGGCUGGUGGUAGCUGGUCCCCUGCAAGAAGGUGAGGUGCCGGAGGUCCCUCCGCCCCCUCUGGACAUCAAGGGGUCCCCGGCGUAUACAGUACGUGCCAUUCUGGACUUGAGAUGCCGGGUGAGGGGCCUGCAGUACCUUGUGGACUGGGAGGGGUAUGGCCCGGAGGAGAGGUGCUGGGUGCCGGUGGGGGAC